UGCCUAAUACAUGCAAGUCGUACGAGACAGUUCUUCGGAAUGAGUAAAGUGGCGCACGGGUGAGUAGCACGUGGGUGACCUACCCUUUAGAGAGGGAUAACAGUAAGAAAUUACUGCUAAUACCUCAUGAGUUUGUGAGAAUUGAAAACUCGCAAAGAAAGAUGGCCUCUAUUUAUAAGCUAUCGCUGAAGGAAGGGCCCGCGGUCCAUUAGCUAGUUGGUGUGGUAAUGGCACACCAAGGCUAUGAUGGAUGGCCGGUCUGAGAGGAUGUACGGCCACACUGGAACUGAGACACGGUCCAGACUCCUACGGGAGGCAGCAGUAGGGAAUAUUGCGCAAUGGGGGAAACCCUGACGCAGCAAUGCCGCGUGAGUGAGGAAGGUCUUCGGAUUGUAAAGCUC
rnacentral:rRNA from 1 species